rnacentral:rRNA from 1 species
GACGAACGCUGGCGGCGUGCCUAACACAUGCAAGUCGAACGGAGAUAUCCUUCGGGGUAUCUUAGUGGCGAACGGGUGAGUAACGCGUGGGUAACCUGCCCUUUUAUCGGGGAUAACUUGCCGAAAGGUGAGCUAAUACCGGAUGUCCUAGUUUGAUCACCUGAUUAAGAUAGCAAAGGUGGCCUCUUUAAAUGCUACCGUAAAAGGAUGGACCCGCGUCUGAUUAGCUAGUUGGGGAGGUAACGGCUAACCAAGGCGGCGAUCAGUAGCCGGCCUGAGAGGGUGAACGGCCACACUGGGACUGAGACACGGCCCAGACUCCUACGGGAGGCAGCAGUGGGGAAUCUUCCGCAAUGGACGAAAGUCUGACGGAGCAACGCCGCGUGAGUGAUGAAGGUCUUCGGAUUGUAAAACUCUGUUUUUUGGGACGAACGGCUCAUAUGUGAACAAUGUAUGAGAUUGACGGUACCAAAGGAGGAAGCCCCGGCUAACUACGUGCCAGCCGCCGCAGUAA